ACCUGCGGAAGGAUCAUUACCGAGUGCGGGCCCUCUGGGUCCAACCUCCCAUCCGUGUCUAUCUGUACCCUGUUGCUUCGGCGUGGCCACGGCCCGCCGGAGACUAACAUUUGAACGCUGUCUGAAGUUUGCAGUCUGAGUUUUUAGUUAAACAAUCGUUAAAACUUUCAACAACGGAUCUCUUGGUUCCGGCAUCGAUGAAGAACGCAGCGAAAUGCGAUAAUUAAUGUGAAUUGCAGAAUUCAGUGAAUCAUCGAGUCUUUGAACGCACAUUGCGCCCCCUGGUAUUCCGGGGGGCAUGCCUGUCCGAGCGUCAUUGCUGCCCUCAAGCACGGCUUGUGUGUUGGGCUUCCGUCCCUGGCAACGGGGACGGGCCCAAAAGGCAGUGGCGGCACCAUGUCUGGUCCUCGAGCGUAUGGGGCUUUGUCACCCGCUCCCGUAGGUCCAGCUGGCAGCUAGCCUCGCAACCAAUCUUUUUAACCAGGUGACCUCGAUCA
rnacentral:rRNA from 1 species